GAGCGAAUGGAUUAAGAGCUUGCUCUUAUGAAGUUAGCGGCGGACGGGUGAGUAACACGUGGGUAACCUGCCCAUAAGACUGGGAUAACUCCGGGAAACCGGGGCUAAUACCGGAUAACAUUUUGCACUGCAUGGUGCAAAAUUGAAAGGCGGCUUCGGCUGUCACUUAUGGAUGGACCCGCGUCGCAUUAGCUAGUUGGUGAGGUAACGGCUCACCAAGGCAACGAUGCGUAGCCGACCUGAGAGGGUGAUCGGCCACACUGGGACUGAGACACGGCCCAUACUCCUACGGGAGGCAGCAGUAGGGAAUCUUCCGCAAUGGACGAGAGUCUGACGGAGCAACGCCGCGUGAGUGAUGAAGGCUUUCGGGUCGUAAAACUCUGUUGUUAGGGAAGAACAAGUGCUAGUUGAAUAAGCUGGCACCUUGACGGUACCUAACCAGAAAGCCACGGCUAACUACGUGCCAGCAGCCGCGGUAAU
rnacentral:rRNA from 1 species